GUUGAAUACAAAGGUCAGGGGCCUCAGGGCAUGGAAGGAUGUUCACUUUCCUCUGCCUCCACUCUCCCUAGGACUCAGGCUUCCUCCACAUGACAAGGUGGCAAGCAGGCAUCAGUGCAGCAGAGAAUGGAGAGAAGCUGCUUCUAGAUGUAAUUUUUCACUGCACUAAAUCCAGAGGAAUAAAAGAGCUUCGGUCAUGAGCAACAAAGCCCCUGAACAUUCGAUGUCUAAGAGGUGCUUGAACUCGCUUUCUCCAUCUUGUAUGACUCAAACUGCCAACUGAACUUCAUCGCUCCUGACAAGCAUGAGUACUGUAUCUGGACGGAUGGACUGAAUGCGCUACUCGGGAAGGACAUGAUGAGCGACCUGACGCGGAAUGACCUGGACACCCUGCUCAGCAUGGAAAUCAAGCUCCGCCUCCUGGACCUGGAAAACAUCCAGAUCCCUGACGCACCUCCGCCGAUUCCCAAGGAGCCCAGCAACUAUGACUUCGUCUAUGACUGUAACUGAAGUGGCCGGGCCCAGACAUGCCCCUUCCAAAACUGGAACACCUAGCUAACAGGAGAGAGGAAUGAAAACACACCCACGCCUUGGAACCGUCCUUUGGUAAAGGGAAGCUGUGGGUCCACAUUCCCUUCAGCAUCACCUCUAGCCCUGGCAACUUUCAGCCCCUAGCUGGCAUCUUGCUCACCGC
rnacentral:lncRNA from 1 species